rnacentral:rRNA from 1 species
UACAGAGGUCCCAAGCGUUGUUCGGAUUUAUUGGGCGUAAAGGGUGCGUAGGCGGCGGUGUAAGUUGGGUGUGAAAUCCCGGGGCUCAACCUCGGAAUUGCAUUCAAUACUGCUUCGCUCGAGUACUGGAGAGGAGGCUGGAAUUUACGGUGUAGCAGUGAAAUGCGUAGAUAUCGUAAGGAAGGCCGGUGGCGAAAGCGAGCCUCUGGACAGUUACUGACGCUGAUGCACGAAGGCCAGGGGAGCAAACGGG